UACAGAGGGUGCAAGCGUUGUUCGGAAUUAUUGGGCGUAAAGGGCGCGUAGGCGGUUUGUCGCGUCUGCCGUGAAAGUCCGGGGCUCAACUCCGGAUCUGCGGUGGGUACGGGCAGACUAGAGUGUGGUAGGGGAGACUGGAAUUCCUGGUGUAGCGGUGAAAUGCGCAGAUAUCAGGAGGAACACCGAUGGCGAAGGCAGAUCUCCUGGGCCGUAACUGACGCUGGAGGCGACGAAAGCGUGGGGAGCAAACAGG
rnacentral:rRNA from 1 species